rnacentral:rRNA from 1 species
AGCGGAGCGUGUGGUUUAAUUCGAUGCAACGCGAAGACCUUACCAGGGUUUGACAUGCUUAAAGUAGGAACUCGAAAGAGGGACGACCUGUAUCCAGUCAGGAGUUUGCACAGGUGCUGCAUGGCUGUCGUCAGCUCGUGCCGUGAGGUGUUAGGUUAAGUCCUGCAACGAGCGCAACCCUCGUCGCUAGUUGUUUUCUCUAGCGAUACUGCCCGUAUAACGUGGAGGAAGGUGGGGAUGACGUCAAGUCAGCAUGGCCCUUACAUCCUGGGCUACACACACGCUACAAUGGGUGAUACAACAGGUUGCAAUAGAGUAAUCUGGAGCCAAUCCCUAAAAUCAUCCUCAGUACGGAUUGCAGGCUGCAACUGCCUGCAUGAAGUUGGAGUUGCUAGUAAACGCAGGUCAGCACACUGCGUUGAAUACGUUCUCGGGCCUU